rnacentral:hammerhead_ribozyme from 1 species
GCACUGCUGAUGAGACCCACCCAGGUGGAAACAAUUGUCCAAUGC